rnacentral:rRNA from 1 species
GACGAACGCUGGCGGCAUGCCUAAUACAUGCAAGUCGAACGAUGAUAUCACUGCUUGCAGUGAUUGAUUAGUGGCGAACGGGUGAGUAACACGUGAGGAACUUGCCCAUGAGCGGGGGACAACAUUCGGAAACGGAUGCUAAUACCCCAUAGGUGGAUUGGUCGCAUGACGAAUUCAUUAAAGUUGGCUCUGCUACCACUCAUGGAUAGCCUCGCGGCGUAUUAGCUAGUUGGUAAGGUAAUGGCUUACCAGGGCAGUGAUACGUAGCCGACUGAAGAGGGGAAUCGGCCACACGGGAACUGAACCCCGGCCCGAACCCUAAGGGGAGGCAGCAGGGGGAAUACUGCACAAAGGGGGGAAAACUGGACGAGGCAAUGCGGCGGGAGUGAAGAGGGCCUUCGGUUCGUAAACCUCUUUUGUUAGAAAAAAACACGUGCGAGUAAACUACUGGUGUCUUGACGGUACCUAACCAGAAAGUCACGGCUAACUACGUG